UAUUCUGCCCCACGGGGAAGGAUGAGAAGCUUCGACUAAGGUUCGACUCGAGCGAAGCGAGAGAACGUUGCCGCAGGCAACGGCCCGAAGGGCGAGGCGCUUUAGCGCCGAGUAA
rnacentral:sRNA from 1 species